GACGAACGCUGGCGGCGUGCUUAACACAUGCAAGUCGAACGGAAAGGCCCUGCUUGCCGGGUACUCGAGUGGCGAACGGGUGAGUAACACGUGGGUGAUCUGCCCUGCACUUCGGGAUAAGCCUGGGAAACUGGGUCUAAUACCGGAUAGGAGCCAUUUUUAGUGUGAUGGUUGGAAAGUUUUUUCGGUGUAGGAUGAGCUCGCGGCCUAUCAGCUUGUUGGUGGGGUAAUGGCCUACCAAGGCGGCGACGGGUAGCCGGCCUGAGAGGGUGGACGGCCACAUUGGGACUGGGAUACGGCCCAGACUCCUACGGGAGGCAGCAGUGGGGAAUAUUGCACAAGGGGCGCAAGCCUGAUGCAGCGACGCCGCGUGGGGGAUGACGGCCUUCGGGUUGUAAACUCCUUUCGCUAGGGACGAAGCUUUUUGUGACGGUACCUAGAUAAGAAGCACCGGCUAACUACGUG
rnacentral:rRNA from 1 species